UACGUAGGUGGCAAGCGUUGUCCGGAUUUACUGGGCGUAAAGAGCGCGCAGGCGGCCAAGUCAGUCGAACGUGAAAGCCCCCGGCUUAACUGGGGAGGGUCAUUCGAUACUGCUCGGCUCGAAGACAGGAGAGGGAAGCGGAAUUCCCGGUGUAGUGGUGAAAUGCGUAGAUAUCGGGAGGAACACCAGUGGCGAAGGCGGCUUUCUGGCCUGUUCUUGACGCUGAGGCGCGAAAGCUAGGGGAGCAAACGGGG
rnacentral:rRNA from 1 species